UGGGGCAGGAGUGGCAAAGUU
rnacentral:misc_RNA from 1 species